rnacentral:sRNA from 1 species
CUGAUUUCACUAGACACUAAGUCCUCUGACCACGUAAUAGUAUGGCAUAAGCCAGCAGCACUGAAAGCUUCCCUGCAGUGCCUUACCACUCUACAUUGGCACUGUUCUGGAGAGACCAUCUUUAGGGGUGAGAGAGUAGUUCUAAGACUUUGUCCAGCCAAUCAGGCUAAU